AUACGGAGGAUCCAAGCGUUAUCCGGAAUCAUUGGGUUUAAAGGGUCCGUAGGCGGGUUUGUAAGUCAGUGGUGAAAGUUUUCGGCUCAACCGGAAAAUUGCCAUUGAUACUGCAAGUCUUGAAUCAUUAUGAAGUGGUUAGAAUGUGUAGUGUAGCGGUGAAAUGCAUAGAUAUUACACAGAAUACCGAUUGCGAAGGCAGAUCACUAAUAAUGUAUUGACGCUAAGGGACGAAAGCGUGGGUAGCGAACAGAAUUAGAAACCCUAGUAGUCC
rnacentral:rRNA from 1 species